rnacentral:lncRNA from 1 species
GUCAAACACAAUGAUUUAUUAAAAAUAAAACGUAAAAAUGAUUUUUGUACAUAUGCUUCCAAAUUUCAGGCAUGGGAUCCAAGUAGAUUUCAUAGAAAACGCUGUAGCCAGGUUAUCAAGUCCUUACAACAAAGUAAACUACCCCCCACCCCAACCCCCGCCCAGGUUUUGCUACAGAAUCAGCAAGUUCACUCCCUCCCUCCCCCCAAAAAACACAAAUUAAAACAAGACAUUUUGCUAGUAUAAAAACGACCAAGGUCCAAGUAAUAAUAAAAAAAUAGAGUCCAUCAAUGACUGUAACACAAAAAUGUGUAUGUGGGGCCGAGUCCAUCUUCAGAGGGAGAGACAAGAGAGGUGGCAGGCAAAUAGAGGAACACCCCCAAGGGUAAGCAGCCUUAGAAGUGGCUCCCCCAAGGGCAAAACAGGGAAGGCGGUGGUGUGGGUGUGAGGGGGUGGGGCUUAGGAGUUGACCCCACUUGGGUUUUUGAAAAGAGCUACCCCAAGAGCCACUCCCAGGCAUUUUAAAUUUUCUUUUAGAAGGAGCUCCCUCCAUAGCCACCCCCACCUCCAUAGCCGCCUCUGUAAGGUCCACUAUUACUGCGACCGCCCCAGCUGCUGCCUCCGCCGCCGCCGCCGCUCUUCAUGGGCCCGUAAGAGGACUGAUGCUGACUGUAGCUGCCGAAGCCGCCGAAGCCGUUACCGUAGUCGCUCCCACCGUAGGACGAACCGCCGCCGCCGCCUCCGUAAGCAUUGUAGCCGCCGCCACCGCCGCCGCCGUAACCACCGUAGCUGUUGUAACCGCCGCCGCCGCCCUUGGAAAGGCCGUUCUGGUCUCGACCACCGCCGCGCCCCCGGCCGCCUCGGCCGCCCCGGGAGGAUCGGAGCCGCCUCCACCCCCACCGGAGUAGAUAUCCUCCUUGGGGACUGCCUUCUUCACCUCCACGCGAUGGCCCUGAAUCGGAUGGAACUUGACCACCGCGGCCUUGUCUGCCGCGUCGUGAUUCUGAAAAUACACGAAGCCGAAUCCACGCUUCUUGCCGGACUGCUUGUCGGCAAUAAUCUCGGCCUUUUCCACGGUGCCAAACUGCGAGAAGUGCUCGAUCAGGUCGCCCUCAGCCACGUCUCCCUUAAGGCCGCCGACAAAGAGCUUCUUAACCUUGGCGUGGGCACCGGGCCGCGCCGAAUCCUCCCGGGACACCGCCCGCUUCAGCUCCACAGUGUUGCCGUCCACGGCAUGGGGCGAGGCGGCCAUGGCGGCGUCGGCCUCCUCCACAUUGGAGUAGGUCACGAAGCCAAAGCAACGGGAGCGCUUGGUCUGGGGAUUCACCACCACCACGCAGUCCGUCAGAGUCCCAAAGGCCUCAAAGUGGCCGCGCAGGCCCGACUCACUCGUCUGCACAUUGAGGCCGCCGAUGAACAGCUUA